rnacentral:rRNA from 1 species
UACGUAGGGGGCAAGCGUUAUCCGGAUUUACUGGGUGUAAAGGGAGCGUAGACGGCCAGACAAGUCUGAAGUGAAAAUCCAGCGCUUAACGUUGGAAGUGCUUUGGAAACUGCCGGGCUAGAGUGCAGGAGGGGCAGGCGGAAUUCCUAGUGUAGCGGUGAAAUGCGUAGAUAUUAGGAGGAACACCAGUGGCGAAGGCGGAUUGCUGGACAGUAACUGACGCUGAGGCGCGAAAGCGUGGGGAGCAAACAGG